AUUGAACGCUGGCGGCAGGCCUAACACAUGCAAGUCGAACGGUAACAGGAAGAAGCUUGCUUCUUUGCUGACGAGUGGCGGACGGGUGAGUAAUGUCUGGGAAACUGCCUGAUGGAGGGGGAUAACUACUGGAAACGGUAGCUAAUACCGCAUAACGUCGCAAGACCAAAGAGGGGGACCUUCGGGCCUCUUGCCAUCGGAUGUGCCCAGAUGGGAUUAGCUAGUAGGUGGGGUAACGGCUCACCUAGGCUACGAUCCCUAGCUGGUCUGAGAGGAUGACCAGCCACACUGGAACUGAGACACGGUCCAGACCCCUACGGGAGGCAGCAGUGGGGAAUAUUGCACAAUGGGCGCAAGCCUGAUGCAGCCAUGCCGCGUGUAUGAAGAAGGCCUUCGGGUUGUAAAGUACUUUCAGCGGGGAGGAAGGGAGUAAAGUUAAUACCUUUGCUCAUUGACGUUACCCGCAGAAGAAGCACCGGCUAACUCCGUG
rnacentral:rRNA from 1 species